rnacentral:rRNA from 1 species
GACGAACGCUGGCGGCGCGCCUAACACAUGCAAGUCGAACGAGCGAGAGAGAGCUUGCUUUCUCGAGCGAGUGGCGAACGGGUGAGUAACGCGUGAGGAACCUGCCUCAAAGAGGGGGACAACAGUUGGAAACGACUGCUAAUACCGCAUAAGCCCACGGGUCGGCAUCGACCAGAGGGAAAAGGAGCAAUCCGCUUUGAGAUGGCCUCGCGUCCGAUUAGCUAGUUGGUGAGGUAAUGGCCCACCAAGGCGACGAUCGGUAGCCGGACUGAGAGGUUGAACGGCCACAUUGGGACUGAGACACGGCCCAGACUCCUACGGGAGGCAGCAGUGGGGAAUAUUGCACAAUGGGGGAAACCCUGACGCAGCAACGCCGCGUGCGGGACGAAGGCCUUCGGGUUGUAAACCGCUUUCAGCAGGGAAUAUAGUGAAGGUAC